AUACGGAGGGCGCAAGCGUUGCCCGGAAUCACUGGGUGUAAAGGGUGCGUAGGCGGGGCUGUAAGUCAGAGGUGAAAGCCCUCGGCUCAACCGGGGAAUUGCCUCUGAUACUGCAGCUCUUGAGUCCCGGAGAGGCCGCUGGAAUUCCUGGUGUAGCGGUGAAAUGCGUAGAUAUCAGGAGGAACACCGGAGGCGAAGGCGGGCGGCUGGACGGGGACUGACGCUGAGGCACGAAAGCGUGGGGAGCAAACAGGAUUAGAUACCCCAGUAGUCC
rnacentral:rRNA from 1 species